UACUUUGACCCCUACGUUGAAAUAUUACGUAGUGCGUGUCUUAGUUUGCUUUUACUCACACAAUUAAGUCCUGAAAGCAACGAACGUGACCGCAACCUCUUGUUGCCUUUAUACCAAAAAAAAUUUUUCCGUUCGCGGUUAAUUUUUAUAAAAAGGCUUUUAAACUAGAGGGACCGCUGUAACUUUUUUAAACCAGAGGAAGGUUGCGGCAAUAACAGGUCUGUGAUGCCCUUAGAUGUUCCGGGCUGCACACGUGCUACANAUGAUUAUUGCAGUGAGCAUCUCAUUUUAAUACACUCGCAUGUGGCGUGUCCAGAUUAUUUGCAUAKCUUUUGUGUGUAUUUUAGAUUGUGUACAUUGCGCGCGGUAAAGCUCUGCUUCGA
rnacentral:rRNA from 1 species